rnacentral:lncRNA from 1 species
AAAGGGAAAAAUCUGAAAAUGGCCAAGUGUGAGUCGGUUUCAAAAUAAUGAAGGUGUUUUAUACCCGGUGUAAAUUUAUACCCCUAAGGAACUAAAACGAACUAAAUUUAUCUAUAUUUAUAUAAUAUAUCUUCGAAUGGUCGUACCGAUCUGAAAUUCGUUACAAAGGUUUGUAUUAAGUCAAAGUAAAGUAAAAAUCUGAUCUGAAAA